GCCUCCUGCCGCAGCUCAGGGCCUCGUGGCGUGAGCCUCCGCACCCACCGGCCGCGGCCCUCGGGUCCCUGCCGAAGCGCCGCGGUUGGGAAGCCGUCGGCCGCUUGGCGAUCCGCUUUUCUUCUUACCGAGCUUAUGAUUUUGACUAAUUGACUGUGUAUUGAGUUGGUGACUCUUUAAUUUUUUUUUUUUUUAUAGAAGAUUUCCUUCUAGGUUCAGUAAAGUUCAAACUUAAUCUAAUGUUAGUAUUGAUUGUCGCCUCUAAUUGCAGACAAAAAAGCUAUAGUUCAGUGGCCCUUUUCCGUUUUGUUUGUAUGAAGAAAAAUCUCGAGUUCUGAAGCGAGGGCUGUGCCAAGCUGCCGCAUGAAUCUGGGGUGAUUUUUCAUCAUGAAGUUAAAUGCAUUAAAACUUUAUAAAAUGUGUGUUUUGUUUUUAUUUUUAAUGUUUAAAGCAGCCGAGAAGCUGUAGGUGGAGUUGUGAUUCAGUGAAGCCCACGAGUGGCACGGUGCUCCCUUUUCCCUUUGGUGUGUCGUCGUUCACCACCACCGUGGAACGAUUUGAAGGGCAAAGCAUCCAAACCCACGGUCCUGCCUGGAGAGUCACCUUAGCAAUGCCGUGCUCUGGCAGCAUGGCAUGCGUCUUUCUGCGACAUGGAGAUGCUUAGCUGAAAAAUGAAAGUGCUCUAUGCGAACGUUGUCGUGAGACAGGUUGUGACUGGCACCAGAUGAAAUGCUUAGUGAGGCUUUGGCUGGAAGGUUCUUCUUGUUCUUGCCAUCCUUAAAUCUGUCUGCCUUGGUGGAAGCUUUUGUUAGUGCCUGCCUUGGGAAGCCUCUCUUCAAACCUCCACGUCUGAUUUUUGCAAGAGCAGCUCUGCCUGUCUGGUGCCAGGAGGAAGCUGAGCUCAGCACCUUGCAGUGAGGUCUACCAUGUCUGCCUACAUCCCCAAAACGCACGAGCCCUUCUGAAACUAUGGAUGCAAGUCUUGAGCUGCUUGAUGUUGUGCAGCAAACCAGAACAAACCUUACCAAAGACCCGGGUUUGAAAGGGCCCCUUGGCCACUGCGUGUGUGCGUACCUGGGGCCACAGCCCGCGGGCUGCGUGCGUGCUGCCCCCCGUGCCCAGGGGCCUGCGAGCCAGCACUUGUGCCAGCCCCAAACCCAGCCGUGAGGGAAAACCACCGCUGGCCACGGGCUGCGUCUGGUGUGUGAUGGCUGGCAGGUCAAUUCCUGUGGCGUGUAGCUUGUUGAUCUGUCUGCGUGGAGCUGCAGCAUUAGUACCGUAGCAAAUCUUAAGUAGCUGCAUAGGGAAAUACUGCUUUUGGCUCCUUCUUUGCCACCCUCACCUCCAUUUGUCUUCGAGUGGAUUAGCUGAGCAUUGUAAUACUAAUGCCAUUAGGCACAUUGGCACUGCUCAACAUGUCACAGUGAGAAACAGAUGCAGUAUACCAUUAAAGCAAUAAACGUGAUAAAUCAGAUCCCAAGUGCUUUGUGAGAUGUUAUUAGUGUUAAUUUUGGUAGCCUGAUACAGUAGUUGUUUUUUAUUUUAUUUUAAGCAUUCAGCAAUUUGUGUUGCACUAAGCUCAGCUGCAAAAGAAACUUAAA